ACGGAAGGCAGCAGUAGGGGAUCUUCGGCAAUGGGGGCAACCCUGACCGAGCAACGCCGCGUGAGUGAAGAAGGUUUUCGGAUCGUAAAGCUCUGUUGUAAGAGAAGAACGUGUGUGAGAGUGGAAAGUUCACGCAGUGACGGUAACUUACCAGAAAGGGACGGCUAACUACGUGCCAGCAGCCGCGGUAAUACGUAGGUCCCGAGCGUUGUCCGGAUUUAUUGGGCGUAAAGCGAGCGCAGGCGGUUUAAUAAGUCUGAAGUUAAAGUCAGUGGCUUAACCAUUGUUCGCUUUGGAAACUGUUAGACUGGAGUGCAGAAGGGGAGAGUGGAAUUCCAUGUGUAGCGGUGAAAUGCGUAGAUAUAUGGAGGAACACCGGUGGCGAAAGCUGCUCUCUGGUCUGUAACUGACGCUGAGGCUCGAAAGCGUGGGGAGCAAACAGGAUUAGAUACCCUGGUA
rnacentral:rRNA from 1 species